UUGCCCUAGUAACGGCGAGUGAAGCGGCAACAGCUCAAAUUUGAAAUCUGGCUUCGGCCCGAGUUGUAAUUUGCAGAGGAUGUUUAUGGUGCGGUACCUUCCGAGUUCCCUGGAACGGGACGCCACAGAGGGUGAGAGCCCCGUCUGGUUGGAUACUAAACCUGUGUUAAACUCCUUCAACGAGUCGAGUAGUUUGGGAAUGCUGCUCUAAAUGGGAGGUAAAUCUCUUCUAAAGCUAAAUACUGGCCAGAGACCGAUAGCGCACAAGUAGAGUGAUCGAAAGAUGAAAAGCACCUUGAAAAGGGGGUUAAACAGUACGUGAAAUUGUUGAAAGGGAAGCGUUUAUGACCAGACUUGUGUCGUGUGGCUCAUCCGAGGUUCUCCCCGGUGCACUCCACGCGGCUCAGGCCAACAUCGGUUCUUGUUGGAGGAUAAGAACAGUAGGAACGUAGCUCUCCUUCGGGGGAGUGUUAUAGCCUAUUGUACGAUACUCUGACGGGGACCGAGGACCGCGCUUCGGCUAGGAUGUUGGCGUAAUGGUCAUUAGCGACCCG
rnacentral:rRNA from 1 species